rnacentral:rRNA from 1 species
AGUGAACGCUGGCGGUAGGCCUAACACAUGCAAGUCGAGCGGCAGCACAGUAAGAGCUUGCUCUUACGGGUGGCGAGUGGCGGACGGGUGAGGAAUACAUCGGAAUCUACUUUUUCGUGGGGGAUAACGUAGGGAAACUUACGCUAAUACCGCAUACGACCUACGGGUGAAAGCAGGGGAUCUUCGGACCUUUCGCGAUUGAAUGAGCCGAUGUCGGAUUAGCUAGUUGGCGGGGUAACGGCCCACCAAGGCGACGAUCCGUAGCUGGUCUGAGAGGAUGAUCAGCCACACUGGAACUGAGACACGGUCCAGACUCCUACGGGAGGCAGCAGUGGGGAAUAUUGGGCAAUGGGCGCAAGCCUGAUCCAGCCAUACCGCGUGGGUGAAGAAGGCCUUCGGGUUGUAAAGCCCUUUUGUUGGGAAAGAAAAGCUGCAUAUUAAUACCCCGCUGUUCUGACGGUACCCAAAGAAUAAGCACCGGCUAACUUCGUG